rnacentral:lncRNA from 1 species
AGUCAAAGCUCUCGGUGAGGAUGGUAGGGACCGAGACGGAGAUAUUGUUGGGGACGAAGCAGAUGGUGGAUUCCGAACACCGGUGAAGAGAUGCAUCAAAAUUUCAUGGAUCGAUUGCCGUAGAACCACCACCCAAGAUUGGGGCGAGAAUCUCAUGAAUUGCCUUCCAUCGUAACAACUGGAGAAGUAGAAAUUAAAUACAAACAACAAACAAGGUCUCCAAAAUAGCAAACGUUUUUCCAAACAAAGAACAAGCAACAUAUCCCACAACCAAAAAACAAACGACAAAUAUUUGUUUAUAGUUUGUUGAAGGUUCUAGCUAUGGCAGGAUUCAAAAGGGAAGAAAAAAAAUCGGAAUCGAGAAAGGGAAGGGAGUAAGAAAUUGAUCAGAUUUUUUCUUCGAAAGAUGCUUAUCGAACGAAAAA